AUUCUGGCAGUAAAAUAAGACUGAGACAACUGGAGAUUUAAUUAGCUUUUACAGUUCUUGUAAAGAAAACACUUCCUUAUUAAGUAACAAAUACAGGUGUAAUUAAGUCUGUUCUGAAAUUAAGUAGGAAUUAACAGCUGUUCUGAUUUCUGUCUGCAUACACAGGCCUGAGAAGCCAUUUGAGGUUCUCCCUUACCCGGUGCUGUAUGCAUGCACGGAGCCACCUGGAGGCAGCAUUCACACAGCUUGCUACAGGCCUGUCUUUGGAGAGUACACUUUGCUGGGGUUUCAUCAUACAGAAAAAAGCUAAGAAGAAAUUACAUAAUAUUCAGCCUUACUGGACACAGAAGCUCUGAGGUGAAGUUGACCAAAAUAUAUGGGAAGUACAUCUGCAGAUUCCUAAUGCUGGGAUGUAAUUGAUUGCUAUCUGUCUCAGGAGCUGUACCUAUAGAGGUAAAAAAAGCAUAGAGAUAGGAAGAGAUCUGAUGGAGGUGAUCUCUGGAUUUAUGAUGAACUAUAGACUCAGAGGCCGCAGGGAAAGGAUGAACGAACAAGGUUGUGGUGAGCAGAGUGACGGGAUAACAGAGCUGAUGGGAAGGAUGUGGAAGGAGAGGAAUAGAAAGUGAAAAGGUAAAGGAAAAGCACACCUCAAAGGGUAGGAGGCACGAGAGCAGCAUAACUGGAAAGAAAAGACCAGGGACUGAAGAAGAAACUUUAAGGAAUAAAAAUAUGGGAAUGAAAGAAUAAAAAUCCUCCCACUCCUUAAUGCACAUCUGCAGGAGAUGAA